UGGGGAAUCUUCCGCAAUGGACGAAAGUCUGACGGAGCAACGCCGCGUGAGUGAAGACGGCCUUCGGGUUGUAAAACUCUGUGAUUCGGGACGAAAGAUAAGCAGACGAAUAAUCUGCAUAAGUGACGGUACCGAAAAAGCAAGCCACGGCUAACUACGUGCCAGCAGCCGCGGUAAUACGUAGGUGGCAAGCGUUGUCCGGAAUUAUUGGGCGUAAAGCGCGCGCAGGCGGCUACUUAAGUCCAUCUUAAAAGUGCGGGGCUUAACCCCGUGAUGGGAUGGAAACUGAGAAGCUGGAGUGUCGGAGAGGAAAGUGGAAUUCCUAGUGUAGCGGUGAAAUGCGUAGAGAUUAGGAAGAACACCGGUGGCGAAGGCGACUUUCUGGACGACAACUGACGCUUAGGCGCGAAAGCGUGGGGAGCAAACAGG
rnacentral:rRNA from 1 species